rnacentral:rRNA from 1 species
AACGAACGCUGGCGGCAGGCCUAACACAUGCAAGUCGAGCGAGCAUUUCGGUGCUAGCGGCGGACGGGUGAGUAACGCGUGGGAACGUGCCCUUUUCUGCGGAAUAGUCCUGGGAAACUGGGGGUAAUACCGCAUACGCCCUUCUGGGGAAAGAUUUAUCGGAGCAGGAUCGGCCCGCGUUGGAUUAGGUAGUUGGUGGGGUAAUGGCCCACCAAGCCGACGAUCCAUAGCUGGUUUGAGAGGAUGAUCAUCCGCACUGGGACUGAGACACGGCCCAGACUCCUACGGGAGGCAGCAGUGGGGAAUCUUAGACAAUGGGGGCAACUCUGAUCUAGCCAUGCCGCGUGAGUGAGGAAGGGCUUAGGGUUGUAAAGCUCUUUCAGCUGGGAAGAUAAUGACGGUACCAGCAGAAGAAGCCCCGGCUAACUCCGUG